rnacentral:rRNA from 1 species
AUUGAACGCUGGCGGCGUGCCUAAUACAUGCAAGUCGAACGGAGUGGCGCACGGGUGAGUAAUAUAUAGCUAAUCUGCCCCUUGCUGGAGGACAACAGUUAGAAAUGACUGCUAAUACUCCAUAGCAAGGGAUGAGACUAUAUCGUAUCAGCUAGUCGGUGGGGUAACGGCCUACCGAGGCCAUGACGCGUAACUGGUCUGAGAGGAUGAUCAGUAACAUUGGAACGGCGGCACGGUGCAAACUCCUACGGGAGGCAGCAGUAGGGAAUAUUGCGCAAAGGGGGAAACCCGGACGCAGCAACGCCGCGUGGAGAAUGACACUUUUUGGAGCGUAAACAACUUUUGUUAGGGAAGCGGUACCUAACGAAUAAGCACCGGCUAACUCCGUGCCAGCAGCCGCGGUAAUUC